rnacentral:rRNA from 1 species
UACGUAGGGUGCAAGCGUUAAUCGGAAUUACUGGGCGUAAAGCGUGCGCAGGCGGUCUUGCAAGACAGGUGUGAAAUCCCCGGGCUUAACCUGGGAACUGCAUUUGUGACUGCAUCGCUGGAGUGCGGCAGAGGGGGAUGGAAUUCCGCGUGUAGCAGUGAAAUGCGUAGAUAUGCGGAGGAACACCGAUGGCGAAGGCAAUCCCCUGGGCCUGCACUGACGCUCAUGCACGAAAGCGUGGGGAGCAAACAGG